UUUUUAAUUGAGAGUUUGAUCCUGGCUCAGGACGAACGCUGGCGGCGCGCUUAACACAUGCAAGUCGAGCGAUGAAAUUUUGACAGAUCCCUUCGGGGUGAAGAUAAAAUGGAUUAGCGGCGGACGGGUGAGUAACACGUGAGUAACCUGCCUUAGACAUUGGGAUAGCCUCGGGAAACCGGGAUUAAUACCAAAUAAAAUCA
rnacentral:rRNA from 1 species